rnacentral:rRNA from 1 species
CUGGCGGUCUGCUUAACACAUGCAAGUCGAACGCAACCUUCGGGUUGAGUGGCGGACGGGUGAGUAACGCGUGAGAAUCUGCCUUGGGGUCGGGGACGACCACUGGAAACGGUGGCUAAUACCGGAUAAGCCUUUGGGUAAAAGAUUUAUUGCCCCAAGAGGAGCUCGCGUCUGAUUAGCUAGUUGGUGAGGUAAGAGCUCACCAAGGCAGCGAUCAGUAGCUGGUCUGAGAGGACGAUCAGCCACGCUGGGACUGAGACACGGCCCAGACUCCUACGGGAGGCAGCAGUGGGGAAUUUUCCGCAAUGGGCGAAAGCCUGACGGAGCAAGACCGCGUGAGGGAGGAAGGCUCUUGGGUUGUAAACCUCUUUUCUCAGGGAAGAAGCUCUGACGGUACCUGAGGAAUCAGCCUCGGCUAACUCCGUGCCAGCAGCCGCGGUAAUACGGAGGAGGCAAGCGUUAUCCGGAAUUAUUGGGCGUAAAGCGUCCGCAGGUGGCGAUUCAAGUCUGCUGUCAAAGCACGGGGCUUAACUCCGUUAAGGCAGUGGAAACUGAAUAGCUAGAGUGCCGUAGGGGUAGAGGGAAUUCCCGGUGUAGCGGUGAAAUGCGUAGAGAUCGGGAAGAACAUCGGUGGCGAAAGCGCUCUACUGGACGGCAACUGACACUCAGGGACGAAAGCUAGGGGAGCGAAUGGGAUUAGAUACCCCAGUAGUCCUAGCUGUAAACGAUGGAUACUAGGUGUAGCUUGUAUCGACCCGAGCUGUGCCGAAGCUAACGCGUUAAGUAUCCCGCCUGGGGAGUACGCACGCAAGUGUGAAACUCAAAGGAAUUGACGGGGGCCCGCACAAGCGGUGG